rnacentral:rRNA from 1 species
AGCGAACGCUGGCGGCAGGCCUAACACAUGCAAGUCGAACGAAGUCUUCGGACUUAGUGGCGGACGGGUGAGUAACACGUGGGAACGUGCCUUUAGGUUCGGAAUAACUCAGGGAAACUUGAGCUAAUACCGAAUGUGCCCUUCGGGGGAAAGAUUUAUCGCCUUUAGAGCGGCCCGCGUCUGAUUAGCUAGUUGGUGAGGUAAAGGCUCACCAAGGCUACGAUCAGUAGCUGGUCUGAGAGGAUGACCAGCCACAUUGGGACUGAGACACGGCCCAAACUCCUACGGGAGGCAGCAGUGGGGAAUCUUGCGCAACGGGCGAAAGCCUGACGCAGCCAUGCCGCGUGGAUGAUGAAGGUCUUAGGAUUGUAAAAUCCUUUCACCGGUGAAGAUAAUGACUGUAGCCGGAGAAGAAGCCCCGGCUAACUUCGUGCCAGCCGCCGCCGUAAGAC